GCGGGGGGCGGGGCUGGUCUGUAAGUAGUGACGUGGGGGUGCCCAGCCCCUCUGGGAUGAGCAGCUGCCGGGUCACGAGGCCCACAGCGAUGGCGACACUGGACACAGACUUCCCUGAGGUCCAGGACAGAGGGGGCGGACAGUUUCCUGCAGGCAGAGAAGGUUCCAUGAGCCGCACACUCGUGGCCUGUCUCUGCCUCCUCGCCAAGGGUUCCCCCAGGAUGUGACAGGUAAGUGUGAGAAGAGAGAGGACCGGGGGACAAGGGUCUUCUUCCCCUCUCCACUAGAAGUGCACAGUCCGCCCCGUCCCUCCGCGUCACUUACAGAAGCCGCCCUGACCCGGCCCUGCGGCAGGAGCCCCGCGGCCUGGCUGGUCUCAUUCUGGAACGUGGCGGCAGGGGCUCCGUACCCUCCACGGUCGAGACCACACUCUCCAAGGUCAGCCUGACGGGUAAUGAAGGUGAGAGUCUGGCCUUCACACACCUUAUCCGGUUUGUCGUUUUCUCUCAUUUCUCAAUUCGGCACAGAAAGGGGUGGUAUUUACUCAGUGGCCUCAAAUCCUAACGCUUUUCAAUUUAAAAUCUAGAAAUGGCGGAAAAGGAAGUAGAUGCUCUUCAGCACCAGAAAUGGAAGGGUCUGGUCUGUGAACCGGGAGGGGGAGGAGGGGAGCCCACAGUAGUAAAUGGGGGUAAGACCCCCGUCCGCGUCCCACAGGGCGCCAGGCCGGGUCCGCUGCCCGCUCAGGACGGGCCCCGGCCACACAGCCCAGGCCCUCUCUCUGGAGCUGGAAGAACCCCGUGUGCCCCGGGCCGUGGCUACCACUGGGGGACAGAGGGCGGGACGGAUCGUACCGGGACCGUGUCCGCGGUCCUGCGCCGUCCGCCCCGGUGAAGGCGCCGAGCUGAGCAGCUGCGGAGCUGCGGCGCUCGGGAGGGACAGGUGACUCGGAGAUGCCCCAGGGUGACGCGGGGGAGAAGACCCGACUGAAGACGGCUUCGCACAGGGCACGACAGGAACCCCCGCCCCAAUCAACAGUAACCAGACUCAACAGGGGAGCAUUCGUAACCCAGUAUUUCAGGCUCGGGAUGAGGGGAGGCACACUCUUUCUGUAAAGAACCAGAGUGCAGGCCACACGGUCUCUGGACAGGACCUACAGAAAACACGUCUGAGAAUGGGUACGACCGUGUUCCGGGAAACUUCGUUCACCGGAACAGCAAACAGGAUAUGUGAAUUCAGAAACCCAGUUCCUCCAAUCAUGAUGCCCCUAUGACAGCUCUGAAUCCCUGCUUUGGAUCUGUCCGCACACGGGAUCCCCCGGGAUCACGAACUUGCACUCUCUCUGUUCUCGUCAAACAUGCCAGAACCCGGCCUUGUCACUGGUGGGAUCAAGGCCACCUUCCUGAGACGGACACCUUGUCAUCGGCAAGAUGUUCGGACGGGUGAGCUCCAAGUUCUGGGGAGGUUCUCGGAACGGCAGCAGCGAUGAAGACAGUGCUUUGCCCUCUCGAGGUCACUGCUCUAAGUGGGAUAAACCCCCCUUUGGUUCUAAAUGUCAGCUGCACUGCCCUGUAAUCACGCCUAGUCCCUAAAACACACAGGGGAGGACUCUGGAGACCGUUCCAGUAAGAUCAUCCCUAAUAGACUCACUACAGACGUAGUUCUUCGGAAGCUGCUUGGACAAAUCCGUUCUUUGUAUCCCUCACUGGUGUUUAUUCCUCUGUAAUAAUCGAGUGCCAAAAACAAAGCUGAAAAGGUCCAAGUUUGGGUAAGUGGGAAAUUACUACCCACUUAAGUUCAGAAAUUAACAAAUAAAUGUUUUGGGGGGCGCCGGGGUGGCUCAGUCGGUUAAACGUCCAACUUCGGCUCAGGUCAUGAUCUCGCGGUCCGUGAGUUCGAGCCCCGCGUUGGGCUCUGU